rnacentral:tRNA from 3 species
GGGCCCGUAGCUCAGCUGGAUAGAGUGCCUGGCUACGAACCAGUAGGUCGCAGGUUCGAAUCCUGCCGGGCCCACCA